AACGAACGCUGGCGGCAUGCCUAACACAUGCAAGUCGAACGAGACCUUCGGGUAUAGUGGCGCACGGGUGAGUAACGCGUGGGAACCUGCCCUUAGGUUCGGAAUAACUCCCCGAAAGGGGUGCUAAUACCGGAUAAUGUCUUCGGACCAAAGAUUUAUCGCCUUUGGAUGGGCCCGCGUUGGAUUAGCUAGUUGGUAGGGUAAAAGCCUACCAAGGCGACGAUCCAUAGCUGGUCUGAGAGGAUGAUCAGCCACACUGGGACUGAGACACGGCCCAGACUCCUACGGGAGGCAGCAGUGGGGAAUAUUGGACAAUGGGCGAAAGCCUGAUCCAGCAAUGCCGCGUGAGUGAUGAAGGCCUUAGGGUUGUAAAGCUCUUUUACCCGGGAUGAUAAUGACAGUACCGGGAGAAUAAGCUCCGGCUAACUCCGUG
rnacentral:rRNA from 1 species